rnacentral:rRNA from 1 species
AGUUUGAUCCUGGCUCAGGAUGAACGCUGGCGGUCUGCUUAACACAUGCAAGUCGAACGGAGUGCUUCGGCACUUAGUGGCGGACGGGUGAGUAACGCGUGAGAAUCUGCCCUUAGGACGGGGACAACAGCUGGAAACGGCUGCUAAUACCCGAUGUGCCGAGAGGUGAAACAUUUUAUGGCCUGAGGAUGAGCUCGCGUCUGAUUAGCUAGUUGGUGGGGUAAGGGCCUACCAAGGCGACGAUCAGUAGCUGGUCUGAGAGGAUGAUCAGCCACACUGGGACUGAGACACGGCCCAGACUCCUACGGGAGGCAGCAGUGGGGAAUUUUCCGCAAUGGGCGCAAGCUGACGGAGCAAGACCGCGUGCGGGAGGACGGCCUAUUGGUUGUAAACCGCUUUUGAUAGGGAAGAAGCACUGACGGUACCUAUCGAAUCAGCAUCGGCUAACUCCGUGCCAGCAGCCGCGGUAAUACGGAGGAUGCAAGCGUUAUCCGGAAUUAUUGGGCGUAAAGCGUCCGUAGUGGGUUGUUCAAGUCUGCCGUUAAAGCGUGGCGGUUUAACCCAUACCAGCAUUGGAAAUGGGACGAUAGAGUGCGUAAGGGUUCAGGGAAUUCCCAUGUAGCGGUG